GAUGAACGCUGGCGGCGUGCCUAACACAUGCAAGUCGAGCGAACAGACGAGGAGCUUGCUCCUCUGACGUUAGCGGCGGACGGGUGAGUAACACGUGGAUAACCUACCUAUAAGACUGGGAUAACUUCGGGAAACCGGAGCUAAUACCGGAUAAUAUAUUGAACCGCAUGGUUCAAUAGUGAAAGACGGUUUUGCUGUCACUUAUAGAUGGAUCCGCGCCGCAUUAGCUAGUUGGUAAGGUAACGGCUUACCAAGGCAACGAUGCGUAGCCGACCUGAGAGGGUGAUCGGCCACACUGGAACUGAGACACGGUCCAGACUCCUACGGGAGGCAGCAGUAGGGAAUCUUCCGCAAUGGGCGAAAGCUUGACGGAGCAACGCCGCGUGAGUGAUGAAGGUCUUCGGAUCGUAAAACUCUGUUAUUAGGGAAGAACAAAUGUGUAAGUAACUAUGCACGUCUUGACGGUACCUAAUCAGAAAGCCACGGCUAACUACGUG
rnacentral:rRNA from 1 species